GUGGCAGUACUAGCACUGUCACACAACACCACCAAACACCAACCCAGCUUAAAAAAACCUCUGUUGCUGAAACAGCUCUUAAAAUUUGAUAGUGCUUACGAUAAUUGGUGCCUUGCAAUAAAAAGGCACACAAAUGCAGCCCUGGUUUGCAGGGUCUAGCCUCCCUUAGAAGCUGAUUUUGGAUCUGUUGAAGCCUGUCAGUUGCAUUCCUCAGAUUGCCUAGAGUGGGUUUGAGUGUGCUGCCUACGCAGGGACCAAUGCUUAAAGUGCUCUGAAAAAAGUAAAUUGUAUUUCCUGGAUCUGUGACCCAUUACUACCUGGCACCCUUUAAGCAUUGGCUGGGACAGAGAAGAAAAGAGUCUGAGAAUCAAUCCCGGGAUUCUCACAUGACCAUGAAGGCUGUUACCACAGGGACCGCCAUGGCCCUUGACUUCCAUAUCUUGGCCAUGCCCCAGUUCUGAUGCACGUAGCUUUGUAGCCCUCGUGUAAUAUAGACAUCCUAAGUGUGAACCAGCUAGAACCUGGUAAUCUUAUCCAGCAGCCUCAAGAAGGCAGACUGAGGAGGAAAACUGGCUUGCAUCGCCUCAAAACAGCAUUGUGAGCUGAAAAGAAGGAAGAAAGAUGCUUUGUCUGGCUUCAGGCAUAACUGGGAUAAAAGGCAAAAAAUUGUGCGGCAUGGUCUUGUAUUUUCUGAGAUCUUCAUGAAAUUCCACUCACCUUGACCCCACCUGUUACCUAUUGUGUAUAAAAUGCUUAUGCUUUUCAUUAUAAGGGGCAGUAGAAAAUCUGUAGACAUUUUUGGAUAAAAACCCAAACAGAUGAAGUCAGUGGGUGGUCUGUGUUCAUUGUGACAUCUCACCCAAUGACUGAAUGCUGAAUAUUUUGAAAUCGCUCACUUUUUAAUAUAGAAACUAGGGCAAGGGGAGAAGAGGAAAGAAACUAAUGUUAUGUACCAAGACAAUAUGUUCUUACUCACCCUGAUAAAAUAGAAGAAUGAAAAAAGGCCUUUUGGGAAGGGAAACACAUAGCUGCAUAUUGUUAAGAGUCAGACUGUUUAUCUUUUUGU